AAAUCAUGCUCAACAGUGGAACAAGUGAGAAACAGAAUUUUCCUUUGUUGGGGAUUUUUAAGGAGGAGACAAACAACUGUCUGUUUUCAACUGCUUAGUGGAAGGCAGAGAUCUGGAUUAGAUGAGUGUUUAAGGACAUCCUUGCAGUAAAUG